rnacentral:rRNA from 1 species
CCUACGGGUGGCAGCAGUGAGGAAUAUUGGUCAAUGGCCGUAAGGCUGAACCAGCCAAGUAGCGUGAGGGAAGACUGCCCUAUGGGUUGUAAACCUCUUUUUUGCGGGGAUAAAGGUGUCCACGUGUGGAUGUUUGCAGGUACCGCAUGAAUAAGGACAGGCUAAUUCCGCGCCAUCAGCCGCGGUAAUACGGAGGGUCCGGGCGUUAUCCGGAUUUAUUGGGUUUAAAGGGAGCUUAGGCCGGUCUUUAAGCGUGCCGGGAAAUUUUGUGGCUCAACCAGGAGAGUGCGGCGCGAACUGGAGACCUUGAGUGCGCGAAAGGCAGGCGGAAUUCGAGGUGUAGCGGUGAAAUGCUUAGAUAUCACGAAGAACCCCGAUUGCGAAGGCAGCCUGCCGCAGCGUUACUGACGCUGAAGCUCGAAAGCGCGGGGAGCGAACAGGAUUAGAUACCCUUGUAGUC